rnacentral:lncRNA from 1 species
UCACCACCAGCCGCACCUCCCCCUGCAUGUAGCUGCUGACGUCGUCGUUCUCAUCGCCGCCACUCGAGGACUCGGCCUGGACCUCGCCGCAGCAGGUGGCCGCGGGCGCGUCCUCGCUCGCCGGGCAGGAGGCGGAGGGAGCAGGGGCAACGACGGGGCCGGCGGGCACGAGGGCCUUGGAGGUGGAGGCGGAGGUGGGGUUGGAGGGGGAGGCGGAGGGGACGGCGCUGCCAUCGGUCGUGCAGUCGUCGCCCGAGCUUGACACGGGCGGCGUGGGAGACUCCUUCAUGGCCUCGAGGACGGGGGCGGGGCUAGCUGCAGCCAACGUGGCGCGCGGGUCCCAAAGUGGACGCCGAACGACCUGAGAGAGAGGUGGAAAGGGCGCGUGUGGUGGGGGAGCGGAUAGGACGAGUGCGCGCGUUCGUUGAGCAGGAGCCUCAAGAAUGCCGAUACGUGGUUGGAUGAAAGAGCCCCAGGCGAGAGGUCUAAGAGAGCGCGCGAGCAACAAUCAAGCUGAACAAACCAAAGACUGUCGUAAAGCCUACUGCGCAUGCCAUUAGUGGAAGUUUGGCUUUGACCAUUGCCGGGCCAGCGUUCCGGCCAGGCGGUGCACAAAGGAAACGCCAGUAGCGCUGAAUUGGUGGUUGUGCCCGCCAACGUGUACCCGUCGCUUUUGCAGAAUGCUCACCUUCUGUCCAUUGCAAGGGAAGCAUGGCGAGCGGAUGUCGCUAGCAGUAGCCUUGCACAGGCGAGGCACGCCGAGGGCCUCAGGCAGAGCAUUGAGCAUGCAGCUCAAGUCCUCUCUCAAGUCUCCGCCCGUCAGCGCCUUGAAGACGCAUCCAGCCAGAAACGCGAGCAUAGAAGCACACGUUUGAGCAAAGGAAAGAAAUAGCGACAAGUCAACAGAAGUGCGCCGAGUAAUCGGUGCAGUCUUUUCGCUCGCUAUGUGCGUUUAGAUGUCACGAGCUAGCAGUGCAUGCUUUGAGAAGCUGAGAUAGCGUAGAAGUAAGGAAAUGCCGCAUGUUGACCGCAUUUUGUCCAGCCCCGCGACCUCGCGACCGGAUGGCAGUACGACCGCGCACAGCUGAAGCCGCCGUGAACAACAGGUCCCUCGCCACACCGUGCGUGUCCAGUUUGCGAUUGAAUGCAUCAUGUAAUACUCUAGAUGUAUUACUCGCAGCAAACGUUGCAUAAAAGAAAUGCGCGUGUCAGGACGACUGGAGUGAGACGGAAGGUGCACAGCCAUGACUGUUACACCCCGUCAGCUUGUCGCUAACGGCCGCGCCCCGGCAGGUGCAGUGUGCUGGCCCGCAGCUAGUAGACGCAUGCUUUGACAGCGGGUGCAUGUCUCAGAGACUCAGAGCCGCACGCGGGGCCUUAGGUGCUGACUCUGCUGAGAGUGGAAGGGAGUGCAUGCGCGCAGCCAGCAGCGGUCGGGUUCGCAGAGGUCCGCUCAGGGUCACCCCUGGGUCCGCUGUGGUUGGAACGUGUAGUUCGACGCCACAUCCGUACAUAACGCUGGACUGGCCACCGACAAAUGCUCUUUCUCCUUUUACCAACGCCACUGCGACAUCUGCACUCUGCAGACGCGGGCACACAUAGCCUGCUGCUUGAAGCCAUACUUCACUGAACACAUCAGGGAAGCAAACAUAACACCUCCCCACCUGCGCAAUCAUGCCCACCCAGUCCCACCCCGCCUCUGUAAACUCAGUAACUUCAGAAUCCCCGAACUCAAACCAAUCCCACAUACACGUUCCCACAGGCCACUCUUAUACCUUCGGCCGAUCGGAAGCUAGCAGGUAGCGGCCUCCUUUCAACUGUUCCAACAAGAGUAUGCGAUACAAUACGGUACUCACGCUAUACCAGUAUGACUUACGGUUCGCCACCAGAGUUCGUACUUGCCGCCAACGCGUGCCAGUUCUUAUCCGAGUCACCUGCCUGUGCCUAGUGCCCCUGCCCACGGCAUUGCAGCAGCGCGACCGUACCAUAGCAGCACGACCAGUGCGCCCGCACCAUGCACUGCUCUGAGGUCGUGGCGUUCAUUCCCCUCGCCUGCCCUUGCGCCCUUCCAUUACGGUACUUCAUGGCAUGCAGCUGCGCCCAUGUCGACAGCCGCAACAACGCCAUACGUCUGUCCCCAUCACCUAUCCGUCACCUGCUCCCCUGCAUCAAGCCUGGCAUGGCUCCCCCUCGCUUCCGUCUCCCAUUCCCUGCACCCUCCACCGGGCCCAACCUCCAUCCCAGCCGCCACAGCCAAUGCCCUCUUCUCGACCCAUUGUAAUCCGCAUCCAUAUGCUGCGUUGGCUGGCGCAGUUCGUUUACUCGGGAGGACUCGGCGGGGCGUCUUCCGCUGCACGCCUGCACCCUUCCCCUUGCACCCUUGCCCCUUGCAUGGCUCUUGUACAUCAUGUUUGCAUCCGAGUCGCUGGCGGCGACACCACAAACCCCACACAUCUGCCCCCACCGAUGACUGCCUAGCACCUCAUCCGGCCGCUAUAGCCACCCACCUCGCUUCCAUGUCCUGCACCCGCGCUCCCUCCACCCACCACCGAGCCCCACCUCCAAGGCUCCAGCUCAUGCCCACUCAAGGCCACACGCACGCAUGCAGGUAAGAAGCAUGCUGAGAUGCACAAGCCCGCGAGGCCCGGCCCACGUACACCGUGCAUGCAUGCUCUGCAGUAUAUGCACCAGUAGGCAGGCCCCGAGGACAAAGAGACGUGUUACUGGAUGCUGCCCAUAGUUGUUACAAGUGCAUGCACGCACGCCGAUGCAUGAAGCUAUGGCCCCACCGGCCUUGAUUAGGAAAGAAGUCAUCUUUUAAUGUCAAUCCGUGCGUAUGCUUCACUGGGCUCCAGCCCUGCCCCGUCUCAUCCUCUCAUCCAGUGUCCUUACCCAGGGGUGAUGACCUGCAAUGCACAGGCCGUGCCCCUUCAUCCCGUGUGCCAGUCCUGUGCCCAUCCCUACUCGUCCUAGUCACGAGGCCUAACUAGCCGUGCACACGCUCCAGCCCCCGCCGCACCGUCAGCCGCUGCAGCUAUGAAGCCGUUCGCUACCCGCCGUCACACCCACGGUCACACCGCCUAGCAGCUAGUCCUCAUUACCGUACAUCUGGCCAAGCUGCCUGAAUCAAUGCAGCCAGCGCUUUACACAAGACAGUAUCGGCUGACACAAGCAGGUCAAAGCAAUCUAAUAGUGAAACGGUAGCCAACGAGCCAAAGACGCUUGGUUCAGCGACGCCGCGUCAGGCAUUUGCCCGCCUAGUCAGUUGUGUGUUGGCGUGCCGGUCUGUCAACCGCCUACCGCCCGUAUUCAUCACUAGCAGACUAAAGCCUAAAGCCGCAGCGUCUAAAAGAUACAGAUCAAUCCAUGUACAGGGUCCUAAAUGUCCAAAAACACCCGAAAGAGAAGCCAAUGCACGACUUGUGUGAAAGAGCAAUGCUAGGCAGACAGCGUUCGACCCAAACCACGUCUAGUGAUGACACGCACGCUCACGGGCACGCAGAGUGCCUCCCCUCGCAGCAGCAGUAUGAAUAAUAUCUGCAGCGCAUGUAUAAUGAAUAUGUACGCCCUAUGAAAGAACUUCCACGCCCUAGGCCGCUUGCUCCAUCCUAAGCGGUAGGUGGUGUUCCAGUCCUGCCCCUGACGCCCACUCGGAGCUAGCUGCGGCACUCCUGGGGCUGUCUCGGCCCGCAAGCACACAAGCAAACGCACACACUGAUGCCGGCCGCACGCCUGCUUGGCGCGGCACGAUAGCUAGUAAGCGAGCUAGCGAGCAAGCCCUACUCUCCUUGGCAGCAUACGCUGCAGCCCUGCCAAUGAAACCAUCUCAGGUUUGCCCUCUCUCGAACCUCUCAACAGCCCUGCCCGACAGCCUAUGGGCGCCCUUGGCGCGAAAACGCAAGCCACCAAUACCAAGCCCGCUAGCAGCACGUAGCAUGUAGCGUCAUCAGUAGCCGCACACAACGACCUCCUCCCAGAUCGCGGCCAGCCGCUGGACCACCUGCUCCGCAGUGGGCCGCUCCUGCGGAUCCCACGCCACGCAGUCGAGCAGCAGCAGCUCCAGCGACAGGGGCAGGUAGGAAGGGAAGAUGCCGGCCGGGAAGGCACGGGCAGCAGCCGGCGCGUCGCCGGCCGGCCACCAGCUCUGCUGCGCAAACCAAUCGGCCGCGGCGCUGUUGCUGCCGGUCACAGCCACGCACAGGGCCGUGAUGCCGAAUGAGUACACGUCAACGGCGGCCGUCAGUGGCACGUUGCUCUGCACCUCGGGUGCCAUGUAGUGGCGGGUGCCGCAGGCCAUCUCGAAGAAGAAGGUGCCAGUGGGGUCAGCGGGGCUCAGCUGCUCAGCCAGACCAAAGUCAGCCAGGCAGUAGGUGUCGUCAGCGCGGUGGAGCAUGUUGGCAGGCUUGACGUCUGUAGGGGAUGAGAGGGCAAGGGCCAGCGAGUCAAGCGAAGCGAGUAAGAGGUCAUGGUGGUUGGAUGGGGGCGCAAGUAAAGGGGCAGAGAGUGCGCGGCGUGGCGCUAAGUGCAUGCAUGCGUCUUCCAUCUCACCCAUCCCCGCCGUCGUAUCCUGGGACACGCACCACACCCUCAUCAGCGGCAGCGGCCCCGCCCCUCCGCAUCUGGCUGGCUGGCCCACUCACCGUUGUGCACGAGUCCCACGCGGUGCAUGGCCUUGAUCGCGGCCGCCAGAGACACCAGGAUGGCCAGCACCUGCUUCAGCGGCAGCAGCGCCACGUCCUCCCACACGUCGCGGCAGCGGGGAGCACUGGCAGUGCCAGGCACUGGGAAGCCCGGCGGAGCACGGGCCACACGCACAGACGGCAGAAGCGGGUCUUCAGCAGCAGAAGUAGCAGCCGAGGCCGGCGCCGACGCAGGCACGGGCGGCGAGGCCAGUAGUGGUGCGAAGCCAGGCGGUGGCAGCGGGGGACGAGGGGCCGCCGGCAGUGCGUGAAAGCCCGGCGGCGGCGGGCACGGGCGAGGGCUCGCCGCCGGCAGGGGCUCAAAGCCGGGCGGCGGCGGUGGUGGGCGAGGGGCCGGCAGGACGCCAGAGCCCGGCGGCGCCGCCGGCCGCGCCCUGGUGACGUUGUCAGACAUGCUGGCGACGUCGGUGUUGGCGGCGGCGGCUGCAUCUGCCUGCUGCUGUGUGGCCUCCAUCUGAGCCCAGAUCUCGUCGCGCUUUUCAGUGGCAUCCUCCUGUGCAAUGCAGAGCAUACCGUAUAGGAGUGAGGGGCCAGGUUUUGGGCAUGACAGCUUAGGCUUGUGUGUAACCAACGCUCAAGCAAGCGUGCACGCACGCACACACACAGGCCUGCCCACACAGGCCCCUCUGGGCGGGCUUUCGUUUCGCUUUUAAACACACAGGCCCGCACACGCGCACGGCUCACCAGUUCGGAAGCCACGCAGCCCUUCGCCAGCUCCAUCACCAUCAUGGGCAGCUGCCCGGGCCGGCCGCCGUGGCACAGCAGCCGCACAAACGGGCUCCGCUCAGCCGCCGCCAGCAGCGGCAACGGCUGUUCAGGCGAGGAGGAAGAAGAGGAGGAGGAAGAGGCGGUGGCGCAGGCCUGCUGCAGCUGCAUCGCCGCGCCGACCUCCCUGUUCAGCUGCUCCUUGGCCUUGGUGAGUCCGCCCAGGAACAGCUUGGCGGCGACGGGCCGUGUGGUGCCGUCGGGCCGCUGCAACAGCCCCACGUGCACGAGGCCGUAGCCGCCGCGGCCGAUCUUGCCCUCGGACCGCCAGCACUGGAGGCCGUGACGCUCCUCGAACGCGUCCAGCUGAGGGAUAAGGGGAACAGGAGGAAGCAAGGAAGGGGGUUAUUAUAUUCGAGAUUAUUAAGAAGGAGGGAUUGGCGCCGGGCGUUACGAGGGCGGCGUGGGAAGCAAUGCAAGUGGACAGCGAGGAGACAGCUAGCCGGCAGGCGACACGCGCGCACACAGUGUCAUGGCUUCCAUGGAUGCACCCAACCAAACACCCCAGUUCAGGCGCAGGACGCACGGCAAACUACCGUGUGCGUACGUGUGCUCCAUGCUGCCCUCUGCUGCCACCGACUACACCCACCCACCAGCACGAGACACCCGCUCACCGGCAGCUUGCGGAAAUCCUCCACGACGCUCUUGGAGAAGCGGCGAAAGGAGCCGUCCUCGAACGUCACCACCAGCCGCACCUCCCCCUGCAUGUAGCUGCUGACGUCGUCGUUCUCAUCGCCGCCACUCGAGGACUCGGCCUGGACCUCGCCGCAGCAGGUGGCCGCGGGCGCGUCCUCGCUCGCCGGGCAGGAGGCGGAGGGAGCAGUGGCAACGACGGGGCCGGCGGGCACGAGGGCCUUGGAGGUGGAGGCGGAGGUGGGGUUGGAGGGGGAGGCGGAGGGGACGGCGCUGCCAUCGGUCGUGCAGUCGUCGCCCGAGCUUGACACGGGCGGCGUGGGAGACUCCUUCAUGGCCUCGAGGACGGGGGCGGGGCUAGCUGCAGCCAACGUGGCGCG